rnacentral:rRNA from 1 species
UGGGGAAUCUUGCACAAUGGGGGCAACCCUGAUGCAGCGACGCCGCGUGAGCGAUGAAGCCCUUCAGGGUGUAAAGCUCUUUCGGCAGGGAAGAUAAUGACGGUACCUGCAGAAUCAGCUGCGGCUAACUACGUGCCAGCAGCCGCGGUAAUACGUAGGCAGCGAGCGUUGUUCGGAGUUACUGGGCGUAAAGGGUGUGUAGGCGGUGCUCUAAGUGUGGUGUGAAAUCUCCCGGCUCAACUGGGAGGGUGCGCUACGAACUGGAGUGCUCGAGUGCGGGAUGGGAGAGUGGAAUUCCUGGUGUAGCGGUGAAAUGCGUAGAUAUCAGGAGGAACACCGGUGGUGUAGACGGCUCUCUGGACCAAUUCUGACGCUGAGGAGCGAAAGCCAGGGGAGCAAACGGGAUUAGAUACCCGGGUAGUCCCUGAGCGGGCUGGCAAGGCGCAU